GGGGCCACCGGCGGGCGGGCCCGCCGAGGAACGUUCUAGGGGUCCACGGAAAGGGUUUGGAGUUGGUAACUCAGUAAUGAUCCCUCCGCUGGUUCACCAACGGAGACCUUGUUACGACUUUUACUUCCUC
rnacentral:misc_RNA from 1 species